CCUACGGGAGACAGCAGUGGGGAAUAUUGGGCAAUGGGCGCAAGCCUGACCCAGCAACGCCGCGUGAAGGAUGAAGGCCUUCGGGUUGUAAACUUCUUUUGUCAGGGACGAAGAAAGUGACGGUACCUGACGAAUAAGCCACGGCUAACUACGUGCCAGCAGCCGCGGUAAUACGUAGGUGGCAAGCGUUAUCCGGAUUUACUGGGGGUAAAGGGCGUGUAGGCGGGAGAGGAAGUCAGACGUGAAAUUCCGGGGCUCAACCCUGGAACUGCGUUUGAAACUGUUCUCCUUGAGUGAAGGAGAGGCAGGCGGAAUUCCGGGUGUAGCGGUGAAAUGCGUAGAUAUACGGAGGAACACCAGUGGCGAAGGCGACCUGCUGGACUUUAACUGACGCUGAGGCGCGAAAGCGUGGGGAGCAAACAGGAUUAGAUACCCUAGUAGUC
rnacentral:rRNA from 1 species